rnacentral:rRNA from 1 species
UUGGAGGGCAAGUCUGGUGCCAGCAGCCGCGGUAAUUCCAGCUCCAAUAGCGUAUAUUAAAGUUGUUGCAGUUAAAAAGCUCGUAGUUGAAUUUCGGGGUUCUACCGUUGGUCAGGCUAACAAGUCUGUACUAGCGUGUAGAAUCCCUACCUUCUGGGGAACCAUCAUGUUAUUAAUUUAGCGUGGUGGGAAACCAGGACCUUUACCUUGAAAAAAUUAGAGUGUUCAAAGCAGGCUUACGUCUGAAUACAUUAGCAUGGAAUAAUAAAAUAGGACGGUGGUCCUGUUUUGUUGGUUUCUGAAUCACCGUAAUGAUUAAUAGGGAUAGUUGGGGGCAUUAGUAUUCAAUUGUCAGAGGUGAAAUUCUUGGAUUUAUUGAAGACUAACUUCUGCGAAAGCAUUUGCCAAGGAUGUUUUCAUUAAUCAAGAACGAAAGUUAGGGGAUCGAAGACGAUCAGAUACCGUCGUAGUCUUAACCAUAAACUAUGCCGACUAGGGAUCGGACGAUGUUAAAUUUUAUUGACUCGUUCGGCGCCUUACGGGAAAC